rnacentral:rRNA from 1 species
CGGUAGCAGAGAAGCUUGCUUCUCUUGAGAGCGGNGGACGGGUGAGUAAAGCCUAGGAAUCUGCCUGAUAGUGGGGGAUAACGUUCGGAAACGGACGCUAAUACCGCAUACGUCCUACGGGAGAAAGCAGGGGACCUUCGGGCCUUGCGCUAUCAGAUGAGCCUAGGUCGGAUUAGCUAGUUGGUGAGGUAAUGGCUCACCAAGGCGACGAUCCGUAACUGGUCUGAGAGGAUGAUCAGUCACACUGGAACUGAGACACGGUCCAGACUCCUACGGGAGGCAGCAGUGGGGAAUAUUGGACAAUGGGCGAAAGCCUGAUCCAGCCAUGCCGCGUGUGUGA